GUGCUCACUUCAGCAGCUCACAUACUAAAAUUGGAAUGCUUCAGAGAAGAUUAGCAUGACCCCUGUGCAAAGAUGACUUGAAAAUUCAUGAAGUAUUCCAUUUUUUU